UCCGUAGGCGGGUAAUUAAGUCAGAGGUGAAAUCCCACAGCUCAACUGUGGAACUGCCUUUGAUACUGGUUGUCUUGAGUUACAGUGAAGUAGAUAGAAUAUGUAGUGUAGCGGUGAAAUGCAUAGAUAUUACAUAGAAUACCGAUUGCGAAGGCAGUCUACUAACUGUAUACUGACGCUAAUGGACGAAAGCGUGGGGAGCGAACAGGAUUAGAUACCCUGGUAGUC
rnacentral:rRNA from 1 species